GACGAACGCUGGCGGCGUGCUUAACACAUGCAAGUCGAACGCUGAAGCUCAGCUUUUGUUGGGUGGAUGAGUGGCGAACGGGUGAGUAACACGUGAGUAACCUGCCCCCUUCUUUGGGAUAACGCCCGGAAACGGGUGCUAAUACUGGAUAUUCACUGGUCUUCGCAUGGGGUUGGUGGAAAGGGUUUUUCUGGUGGGGGAUGGGCUCGCGGCCUAUCAGCUUGUUGGUGGGGUGAUGGCCUACCAAGGCUUUGACGGGUAGCCGGCCUGAGAGGGUGACCGGUCACAUUGGGACUGAGAUACGGCCCAGACUCCUACGGGAGGCAGCAGUGGGGAAUAUUGCACAAUGGGCGCAAGCCUGAUGCAGCGACGCCGCGUGAGGGAUGGAGGCCUUCGGGUUGUGAACCUCUUUCGCUCAUGGUCAAGCCGCAACAAUGGUUGUGGUGAGGGUAGUGGGUAAAGAAGCGCCGGCUAACUACGUG
rnacentral:rRNA from 1 species